UACGUAGGCAGCAAGCGUUGUUCGGAGUUACUGGGCGUAAAGGGUGCGUAGGCGGCUUCUUAAGUCUGGUGUGAAAUCUCCCGGCUCAACUGGGAGGGUGCGCCGGAUACUGAGGGGCUAGAGUGUGGGAGAGGAAAGUGGAAUUCCAGGUGUAGCGGUGAAAUGCGUAGAUAUCGGGAGGAACACCUGUGGCGAAAGCGGCUCACUGGACCACAACUGACGCUGAUGCGCGAAAGCUAGGGGAGCAAACAGG
rnacentral:rRNA from 1 species